rnacentral:rRNA from 1 species
UACGUAGGGAGCGAGCGUUGUCCGGAAUCAUUGGGCGUAAAGCGCGCGUAGGCGGCCCGAUAAGUCCGCUGUAAAAGUCAACGGCUCAACUGUUGAAAGCCGGUGGAUACUGUCGAGCUAGAGUACGGAAGAGGCAAGUGGAAUUCCUGGUGUAGCGGUGGAAUGCGCAGAUAUCAGGAGGAACACCCAUAGCGAAGGCAGCUUGCUGGGACGUUACUGACGCUAAGGCGCGAAAGCUAGGGGAGCAAACAGG